ensembl:lncRNA
UGGUAGUGGGGUGGUAGAUGUCUUGUCUCCCUUAUGGCUCUAAUCUGAUAGUGGGGUGGUAGAUGUCUAGUCUCCUUUAUGUCUCUAAUCUGAUAGUGGUAGAUGUCUAGUCUCCUUUAUGGCUCUCAUCUGAUAGUGGUAGUGGAGUUGUUGAUGUCUAGUCUCCUUUAUGGCUCGUAUCUGAUAGUGGGGUGGUAGAUGUCUAGUCUCCUUUAUGUCUCUAAUCUGAUAGUGGUAGAUGUCUAGUCUCCCUUAUUGCUCUUAUCUGACAAUGGUAGUGGGGUGGUUGAUGUCUAGUCUCCAUUAUGGCUCUAAUCUGAUAGUGGUAGUGGGGUGGUAGUUGUCUAGUCUCCUUUAUGGCUCUAAUCUGAUAGUGGGGUGGUAGAAGUCUAGUCUCCUUUAUGCCUCUAAUCUGAAAGUGGUAGAUGUCUAUUCUCCAUUAUGGCUCUAAUCUGAUAGUGGUAGAUCUCUCCAGGAACAGGGUUGGAGUUAAAACCUACAGGAGGGUAUUUCUCAAGGAACAGGGUUGGAGUUAAAACCUACAGGAGGGUAUCUCUCCAGGAACAAGGUUGGAGUUAAAACCUACAGGAGGGUAUUUCUCAAGGAACAGGGUUGGAGUUAAAACCUACAGGAGGGUAUCUCUCCAGGAACAAGGUUGGAGAGCCCUGCUCUACCGUGACCCUUCAGUCUUCCGAUCAUGCUCUGACUCCUAACCCUGUAGUCUUCCGAUCAUACUCUGACUCCUAACCCUGUAGUCUUUAUUCUGCAUUAGGAUCCCCAUUAGCUGACACCAUGACAACAGCUAGUCUACCAGGGGUUCAUACACACAAGAGAUAUUAGACUAUAGAGUUGGCAUUAGAAGGCCGUCACACCGUUGACAGCACGAGACAAGAGGAGACAACAGUAAAAUAACUGACAUGGCACACAUUUACAAUUCAAUUUCUUUGACCUCUAACCUCAGCAAAACCUGGAACAGAGGUCAUCUCAGCAGGAGGGGGGAGCUGCGGAGAGGAGGGAGAAAGGUCUUCCCACCGAACCACCAGACCCCAAGAAGAGGAAGUACAGCCCCCUUGAUGGUACGGCUGGCAGUAGUCUAGGUGCCAGGAUGCUGCAGGGAGGGGUGAAGAAUGGCCUGCUGCUACGUAACAUGCAAGUGGACUGACCUCUAGCCCCUGACUGUUAACCCGCUCCAGGGUGAAGUUUCCCCUAGGUCUGUACAGAUCUUGGAUCAGCUUCCCCUUCCUGAAUCCAAAUCUAUUUUUUAAUAAACACUUUUUACCCCUUUUUCUUGGUGUUCGUUUCGUCGCUGCAACUCCCGUACGGACUCUGGAGAGGCGAAGGUCGAGAGCCACGCGUCCUCUGAAACACGACCCUGCCAAGCCGCACUGCUUCUUGACACAAUGUCCACUUAACCCGGAAGCCAGCCGCACCAAUGUGUCGGAGGAAACACCAUAACACCUGGUCAGCGUGCACUGCGCCCGGACCGCCACAGGAGUCGCUUGAGCACGAUGAGACGAGGACAUCCCCGAACCCGGACGACACUGGGCCAAUAGUGCGACGCCUCAUUGGCCUGCGACACAGCCUUGGAUCGAACCCAGGUCUGUCGUGACGCCUUAGACCGUUGCACCACUCAGGAGGCACCCGAAUCCUAAGUGGGAAAAUCUACAGACAGAUACUUAAAUCUGAUCGCUGCAGAGGAGGCCGAUAUAUGACAUCAACGCAAUAGGAGAUCAAUAUGGAGCUGACCAACAGCGGCACGCCACGGAUGAUAGAGAAAGGACAUUUUUGAUAACCACUGGCAUAAACGAUUCUCAACAUAUAUAUUAUAAGCAAUUUUACAAUGGAAAUAGGCCUUUAAUCUGUUACAUUGACUCUACACUAAGAUAUUUGAUGUGGAAACAAGUCUGUGACUUGGCGAACGGUAAUCCUUAAUAAGAGCAUUUACCCGUGAUGUGGUGGUCCCCAGAACGGAAAAGGUUGGGAACCACUGGUCUAUACAUCACCUUUUGUUUGAUUGGAAACAGUAUGUAAUGCUGUGAGCGUUUUAUAUUAAUACUUCUUUAAAUACAUUUCUGCUGUACUAGUGUCUGUGUUUUCAUGGGCUCCACUCCAGUUCCCAGCAGCUAACCUGGGCUUAUGGUCACCCGAGAUGGCUUGAGCUGAGAAAUGAGUUAAAGACUGCAUUACAGAGAGAAUCAUGUGUUUUACUAGAGAUAGUUUAGGAGUAAAACAAUCCCUCAUUGUCUCUAAAUCAUCCUUGCAACUGGGAAACUAAGCCAGGGUGCGGUUAAGACAACAACCCUGUGUAGAUAACGACAGGAUGAACCCCGAGUGACUUAUGAUGGUCCUUGGUCUGCAUGGAAGGGGUGGAACCAGCCAUGACUAAGCAUUCUUAGUGUCGGCUAUAUGAAGAACUCUGCAUGUCUGUAAAGGUUAGGCUGCUCGGCCCAACAGUCAAUACUGUGGGGUUGACUAGUCUCAUUAUUGCAAUAACUAAUCAAUAUUAAAUAAAGAUAAUUGUUU